AUUGAACGCUGGCGGCGUGCUUAACACAUGCAAGUCGAUCGGUAACAGGUGUAGCAAUACAUGCUGACGAGAGGCGGACGGGUGAGGAAUAUUUGGGAAUCUGCCCAUCAGCGGGGGACAACCCGGGGAAACCCGGGCUAAUACCGCAUACGCCCCAAGGGGGAAAGCGGGGGAUCUUCGGACCUCGUGCUAUAGGAGGAGCCUGCGUCGGAUUAGCUAGUUGGUGAGGUAAAGGCUCACCAAGGCGACGAUCCGUAGCUGGUCUGAGAGGAUGAUCAGCCACACCGGAACUGAGACACGGGCCGGACUCCUACGGGAGGCAGCAGUGGGGAAUAUUGCGCAAUGGGCGAAAGCCUGACGCAGCCAUACCGCGUGUGUGAAGAAGGCCUUCGGGUUGUAAAGCACUUUCAGUGGGGAGGAAAAGCUGGUGGCUAAUAUCCAUCGGCCGUGACGCUACCCACAGAAGAAGCACCGGCUAAUUCCGUGCCAGCCGCCGCGGUAAGAC
rnacentral:rRNA from 1 species